CCUACGGGAGGCAGCAGUGGGGAAUAUUGGGCAAUGGGCGCAAGCCUGACCCAGCAACGCCGCGUGAAGGAAGAAGGCUUUCGGGUUGUAAACUUCUUUUCUCAGGGACGAAGAAAGUGACGGUACCUGAGGAAUAAGCGACGGCUAACUACGUGCCAGCAGCCGCGGUAAUACGUAGGUGGCAAGCGUUAUCCGGAUUUACUGGGUGUAAAGGGCGUGUAGGCGGGAAAGCAAGUCAGAUGUGAAAACCAUGGGUUCAACCUGUGACUUGCAUUUGAAACUGUUUUUCUUGAGUACUGUAGAGGCAGACGGAAUUCCUCGUGUAGCGGUGAAAUGCGUAGAUAUGAGGAGGAACACCAGUGGCGAAGGCGGUCUGCUGGACAGCGACUGACGCUGAGGCGCGAAAGCGUGGGGAGCGAACAGGAUUAGAUACCCUUGUAGUC
rnacentral:rRNA from 1 species